rnacentral:rRNA from 1 species
CCUUCGGGGUACACGAGCGGCGAACGGGUGAGUAACACGUGGGUGAUCUGCCCUGUACUUCGGGAUAAGCCUGGGAAACUGGGUCUAAUACCGGAUAUGACCUUACAUCGCAUGGUGUUUGGUGGAAAGAUUUAUCGGUACAGGAUGGGCCCGCGGCCUAUCAGCUUGUUGGUGGGGUAAUGGCCUACCAAGGCGACGACGGGUAGCCGGCCUGAGAGGGCGACCGGCCACACUGGGACUGAGACACGGCCCAGACUCCUACGGGAGGCAGCAGUGGGGAAUAUUGCACAAUGGGCGAAAGCCUGAUGCAGCGACGCCGCGUGAGGGAUGACGGCCUUCGGGUUGUAAACCUCUUUCGACAGGGACGAAGCGCAAGUGACGGUACCUGUAGAAGAAGCACCGGCCAACUACGUG